AUCCGAUCCGAGACGACCGGCUCGAGCAACACCCUACAUCUGAUAUGUGUGGCUAUAUCAUUACCUAUUUCAUACCGACUAUUCAUAUCAUCGUCUACUGCGAAAAUUAUUUAUUAGUAUGUACCUACCAUCUCUUAGAGUUCGUAUGUGUAUUAGUGAUAUUUUGUACUAUAUAGUUUUUAUGCGAUAUUUUUUCAAGUUACAGCAGCUCAGAAGACGAAUGAGAUGAUUUA